rfam:Loxodonta africana unplaced genomic scaffold scaffold_54, whole genome shotgun sequence.
GGUGGCAUAGUGGUUAAAGUACUUGGCUGCUAAACAAAAGAUUGGUGGUUUGAACCCACCAGCCA